UAUGUCAAGUGUUGACAUUUUCAAUGUCGAAUGUACAUCGUGAUUAAGCACCUUUAUACUGAACUACCUACAUCCUACGCAGUUUUGUUUUUCGAUAGGUAGGCACCUAUAUAAAAGAAAGAACCAAUAACUUGUAGAUUAGUAUCACUUUGAACUUUUGAAGUUGACGAUUUCUUGAAAAAAAAAUCAUACGCGAGUGAUAAUUUCCAAUUUUUGAAAACCGUAUCACUUUUACUAUAAGAUUACAUCAGAUUAUUGUGAUUAUCAGAUUUCCAGAGCACCGCAGCAAUGUCAGCGCAAUUCCAUAAAAUACUUUCAGUAGCCAUUUUCUUCGUUAUGCAAAUAUUAUUCAUUUCGGAUAAUUCGGAUGCUCUCGAAGUGACUGUUCAUCAAUUCGAAAACGUCUGGAAAGGCUCAAAUAUCUGCAAAAUGAACCCAGGCUCUUACAAAUAUAAAAUUGAUGAUAUUUGCGUAAAGCUGAGAGGCUACCAGUACGUGACUGCAAAUAGCCUAUAUUCCGAAGCAAGAGUAAGACAAGAGGCUCGUUGUGAAACGAAAAAGGUGCAGGUGAAAAAUGGAAACCGAACUACGACGAAACCAUACGAGGUUCUCAUGUGCACCUUGAACAAUCAGAUUACGGGUAAAAUAUGUGUAACGAAAGGGACAGAAGUCAGAGAUAUCAUCACGUAUCACUACGAUGCAGCCAAAGAAACUUGUAUUCCAUUUGAAGAGAAAAAAGGGGUUGCUUAAUCAGUAAAUUUGAAACAUCGCAGGAUUUGUUUUUUCCAAAUU